rnacentral:lncRNA from 1 species
AUUGUCCAGCUGAAGCUUGGGAACGAGGAUUCAUAUUCCUUGACUUUCUAGGUUGCUGUGAAAAUGAACUACUCAUCGGUCUUUUCUUCCAAUUUCUAGUCUCAGCCUCUAUCUUUUUCUUUUCUUUAAGUAGUUCUUCAACCUUGCAAGCUCGAUCAACCAGUACUACCAUUUCUUUUAGUUCAAGGAUCCCGAAAAAUACUUUAAUGUCUUCGUUGAGCCCGUCUUCAAAUCGUCGGCGCAUCUUGGCUUCUGUAGGAACAUAUUCCCUGGCAUACUUACUC